rnacentral:rRNA from 1 species
AAGAGACAGCAGCCGCCGCGGGAAUACAGAGGGUGCGAGCGUUAAUCGGAUUUACUGGGCGUAAAGCGUGCGUAGGCGGCUUCUUAAGUCGGAUGUGAAAUCCCUGAGCUUAACUUAGGAAUUGCAUUCGAUACUGGGAAGCUAGAGUAUGGGAGAGGAUGGUAGAAUUCCAGGUGUAGCGGUGAAAUGCGUAGAGAUCUGGAGGAAUACCGAUGGCGAAGGCAGCCAUCUGGCCUAAUACUGACGCUGAGGUACGAAAGCAUGGGGAGCAAACAGGAUUAGAUACCCCCGUAGUCCCUGUCUCUUAUAC